GACGAACGCUGGCGGCGUGCUUAACACAUGCAAGUCGAACGGAAAGGCCCUGCUUGCAGGGUACUCGAGUGGCGAACGGGUGAGUAACACGUGGGUGAUCUGCCCUGCACUUCGGGAUAAGCCUGGGAAACUGGGUCUAAUACCGGAUAGGAGCCAUUUUGAGUGUGAUGGUUGGAAAGUUUUUUCGGUGUAGGAUGAGCUCGCGGCCUAUCAGCUUGUUGGUGGGGUAAUGGCCUACCAAGGCGGCGUCGGGUAGCCGGCCUGAGAGGGUGGACGGCCACAUUGGGACUGAGAUACGGCCCAGACUCCUACGGGAGGCAGCAGUGGGGAAUAUUGCACAAUGGGCGCAAGCCUGAUGCAGCGACGCCGCGUGGGGGAUGACGGCCUUCGGGUUGUAAACUCCUUUCGCUAGGGACGAAGCUUUUUGUGACGGUACCUAGAUAAGAAGCACCGGCUAACUACGUG
rnacentral:rRNA from 1 species